AGAGUUUGAUCAUGGCUCAGAUUGAACGCUGGCGGCAGGCCUAACACAUGCAAGUCGAGCGGAUGACGGGAGCUUGCUCCUUGAUUCAGCGGCGGACGGGUGAGUAAUGCCUAGGAAUCUGCCUGGUAGUGGGGGACAACGUUUCGAAAGGAACGCUAAUACCGCAUACGUCCUACGGGAGAAAGCAGGGGACCUUCGGGCCUUGCGCUAUCAGAUGAGCCUAGGUCGGAUUAGCUAGUUGGUGAGGUAAUGGCUCACCAAGGCGACGAUCCGUAACUGGUCUGAGAGGAUGAUCAGUCACACUGGAACUGAGACACGGUCCAGACUCCUACGGGAGGCAGCAGUGGGGAAUAUUGGACAAUGGGCGAAAGCCUGAUCCAGCCAUGCCGCGUGUGUGAAGAAGGUCUUCGGAUUGUAAAGCACUUUAAGUUGGGAGGAAGGGCAGUAAGCUAAUACCUUGCUGUUUUGACGUUACCACAGAAUAAGCACCGGCUAACUCUGUGCCAGCAGCCGCGGUAAUAC
rnacentral:rRNA from 1 species